rnacentral:rRNA from 1 species
UACGGGAGGCAGCAGUGGGGAAUAUUGCACAAUGGGCGCAAGCCUGAUGCAGCUAUGCCGCGUGUAUGAAGAAGGCCUUAGGGUUGUAAAGUACUUUCAUCGGGGAGGAAAAACAAAACUAAUAAUUUUAUUUCUUGACGUUACCCGAAAAAGAAGCACCGGCUAACUCCGUGCCAGCAGCCGCGGUAAUACGGAGGGUGCUAGCGUUAAUCAGAAUUACUGGGCGUAAAGAGCACGUAGGUGGUUUUUUUAAGUCAGAUGUGAAAUCCCUGGGCUUAACCUAGGAACUGCAUUUUGAAACUGAAAUACUAGAGUAUCGUAGAGGGAGGUAGAAUUCUAGGUGUAGCGGUGAAAUGCGUAGAUAUCUGGAGGAAUACCUGUGGCGAAAGCGGGCCUCCUAAACGAAUACUGACACUGAGGUGCGAAAGCUGGGGAGCAAACAGGGAUUAGAUACC